rnacentral:lncRNA from 1 species
GGAGGAUCAGAAAAGUAAGCAAAAUAUGAUUACUGUGAGGCCAUGUGAGUUCGGGAAGACAACUUUAUUGCGACAGGUUUAUAGGCUAAUGCAGAAAGGAAAAGGGGAGACCUGGUGUGUAUCCUUCUCUGCCUCCGAUGCAGGUGUGACCUGGGACAAGUUCCUUUUUUCUUUUUUGUUGAAUCAGGCAUCGAUUUCUUGGGUGACCCAGAAAUCGAGGGCAGGGGCAAUGUCACUGAAGACAUGGUUGAUCCCUCUGUCCAGUAGCUGCUCUUGGUACUUUGUGUCUUUUAGCAGAAAUAGCAGAUUUGUGAUUUUCAGCUCAGACACCUGUCAUCCUAGACUUGGCCUCUGGAGCUGAGCUCUUCAUCUCGGUCAGUCACACAGGCAUGCCCUGAGUUCUCAGACUCCAGUUCCCUUCUUUGCUGGGUGUCACCCUUGGAAGGGUCUCCUGGGAAGAGGUUUAGUUUGGUGCCUGGCUUUAAUAUCAGGGCUUUGAGAGAGAGAGAGAGAGAGAGAGAGUUCUAGAGUUUUGGGAACUGGGGUCCUACAGCACAAUUUCAAUUGGUUAAUACUUUCUGAUUAAAGGGAUCUAACUCAAUUAAAGUAUUUGUCAGAGAGCAGGUUUACUUGCAUCUUGUCCUGGGGAUAAUACCAGAGCCAUUUGUCCUUAAUAACAGAAAGCAUAAAACUCCAGGAAAGCUUUUAAUAGGAUUGGGUUGGAGCGAGGGCGCUAAUUUCAUAAAAAUAAUUCUCAGAAAAAGAAACAGCCUUUUGUUAAAUGGGAGCAGAGUCUGCCAGUCGAAUUUCACGUUUGAGAUUUUUUUUUUUUUAAUUCAAAGUCCAGGAAACUCAAGUUAUGAUUCCCACGGCAACCGUAAUUUUGUCUGAGGCAUACCCGACAUUUCUGCCACAGGAACAUUUCUGCUUUUCCUGCGGCAGUUCUGCACUUACGCCAUGGAGGAGGUUGGUUGCCGUGUGGAGGACUGAUUGGUUUUCAGUCCUGGGAGGAAAGCAGGCUGAAAACCGAUUUUUCACUCUGAACCCCACGCAGAGGCCACCCUGGCUGUGUCUGCCCGGCUUCCUCUCCAGGUGGUGUUGGUACCUGUCAGAACUUGCCUUUUCACCCCGCCACCUCCUUUGGUCUCCCCCACCUGUGUCCACCAGGUGGGAGAUAAAAACAAAAACCAGGUUGACACAGUUACUUGUGACUGUGAAAUUGCUGUCAAAAUUCCUUAGGUAGGUGUGUGUGUGUGUGUGUGUGUGUGUGUGUGUGUGUGUGUUUAAAUAUUUCUAAUCUUGAAAAAAAAUUUUGGUGGGGGGCGGUUACUGCGGAUUGAACCCAGGGGCCCUUAACCACUGAACCACAUCACCAGCCCGCCCCCGCCUUUUUUUUGUAUUUUAUUUAGAGACAAGGGUCUCACUUAAGUUGCUGAGGCUGGCUUUGAACUCGUGAUCCUUCUGCCUCAGCCUCCC